UAUCCAACCAUCUCAUCCUCUGUUGUCCCCGUCUCUUGCCUUCAAUCUUUCCCAGCAUCAGUUAAAAAAUCAUACACACACUACCUAGAAUACUUUAUUCUCUAAAGCUCAUUCCUGCUGUUUAAAAGUGUCACCAUGUUAAGGAAUGAAAAAUUACAGCGACUAGGGAAAAGUUUUCACCUUUUUUCAUUUCCCCAGUAAAAUUAAGCAAUAAUUUUCAUUCCCCUCAGCUCCUUUUGUAAUCAAGGCUAACAAUGGAUUAAAGGGCAAAUAAAUGAAUGAACAAGUCUAUGGUGUUUCUUUCUUCUGCCUCAGAAAGAUGCAGCUUCCCUUGCUGGCAGGAGAUACAGGUUUAAACUGAGUGAGGAAAACACAGCAUCUGAAGACACAGACUGGCAAGUUGAGAACUUUGUCUCCUCCAAAGCCAGGUAGCUUGCUUUUUCCCUGUGGCCAGGACUCCUGCUGACACUUCCAGCCGUCCUCAGCAAAGCCAUUGGGCUACCCUUGGGUUAGUGAAUGAGAACUCUCUGGACAGCGAAGACUGGUGGAGGUCCAGCUGGAAAAACAUAUGGCCGCAGAGGCAGAAAGCGCUUCUUCAGGCUUGUGAGUUGUAUAAAAAAUGUCUGCAGGCUCAAGGCAGCCCUUACAACCUAAGAUCUUACUAAGCAUGAUGGAUGUCCGUACUUCUAGGACUGCCUCCAAUGUACCUGGACCGAAGCCAGUGCUGCAUCCUCAGGCGCCCCCAGGGAUGGUGUGUGCAGGACGGCACCACCUCACAGCCCCCUCUGAGGUCAGGAUUCCACGCCCGCUCCCUGCCUCCCUCCCACUCUCCACUCCCCUACCCUCGGCGGAGCCCAGUAGAUGGCAGCCCCUUGUGCCUUCUGAAAGAAAACGAAGUUUGCAAAUCUCUGUAGACUGUCUUAUAAUAGGUAGGUCAGGAGGGAAAAUGACUAUGGUAAAUUCUCCUCUUAACCACACAUGACCUCAGCGCAUUUUUGAGCUGCACAGUGACACAGAAUGAACUGAAGGAGAAAAGCCAGGCAGGCUGGGUUCCAGACCAGGACACUGCAAGGAGCUGACUUUUACAGGCUCUUCGGUCUGUGGAAUUUUCCAGGCAAGAAUAC